CCGGAAGUCGCAUUCACCUGAGGAAAUCUUAAAAUCUGCGUUUGCGUCACUAAACCUACAUUCUUCUGCAAGGCAUCUGACCUUUGUAAGGUAUGAGGCUUUUAUUCCGGAUUUCCAUGCUGAACGAAGGCCAGGAGAAAUGGCUCGGUGCAGAAAUAAUACUUCAUCAGACUGACCUAGUUUGCAGGACCGCGGGUGCUUGCAAAGGAUAAUUAUCUUCUGUGAAUCGUUUCCAUCAAUGCAUCAGUCAAUCAAUCUUCACCAACACCACACGCCAUCAGCAACUCCAUUUUGUUGUUUCUUCUAAUGGAAGCGGCUCUCCAUGAGAGUUCUGAUGAGUUCGAGUGAUGAACGAGGACACAGUUUGGUGAGAGUCAUGGAGUACAGUAGUCAGUUCCUUCAUCACUUGGAUCUCAAGUCAAAGGAAAGUGGGCCAGUUUUGAGAGAGGUUUGCGGUCACUCGCAUAAUUUUUUUAGUGGAAAACUGCAUGCAAUUUGAGCGCGCACACACACAUGAACGGAGGAGUACAGAACAAACACAUCUCCUGGAUCCUGAGCACCAAAAACUACACUCAUCAUUUAUCAGCUAGCUAAAUGCUUGCCCAAACCAUUACCCUCCCCAAAGCAGCCAGCAGGACGGGAGAGGAGCGAGGCGCUGCGCUGGGUGAAUUAAACUUUUGAGGGUUCAGCUCUUUCCCACUUUGGCAAUUCAUCUUUCCUCUCACCCAGGAAGUGCACACCCAGCAGGAGAGUGAGGGUACCAGUCCCUGGGUCCCCGUCCCCCAUCCGUACACAACGUCCUUCGGCUCUCGCAGGCGCAUCAUGUGCCGCCGGAGCGGACAGAUGAAGAAGAGGAUAUUAAGUGACUCUAUCUAACAUCCAGGACACAAUGGCGGUGAUUGAUGGAGGACAAAGUGGGAACAGCAGGACAGAGGAUGGGAGGGGGGCGUCCGUUGGGGGUCUCUGUCGAGAGCUGGUGCGCCGUCCCCGUCCGCCGUGUUUACUCACUGAUGCUCUCGACAAGACAGCCAUUGACACUGGGAUGGAUGAGUCCCGAUCCACCGCGCGGAGCCAGAGGUUAGCAGGGCUGAAAUAUAGAGCUCCUCCACGACACGCUCCCUUCACCUAAUCUUCCGGCAAAAUAUUUAUCAUUAUCAAUUGGGGCCUGCUCUCUGACAUUAGAAUAGCACGUAUGGAUAAACCCUCGGGAGGAUUAUCGAUCCGCCCGGCAGCAGCUUACACAAGACUCGGGGUCAUGCGGGACAAUAAGAAUAAAAGCAUGGUAUAUCCAGCCCUCCGCUCAGGUUUAUUAAGUAAAACAAUGAACCAAAUCACACCGGCAUGAC